AUUGAACGCUGGCGGAAUGCUUUACACAUGCAAGUCGAACGGCAGCACGGACUUCGGUCUGGUGGCGAGUGGCGAACGGGUGAGUAAUGUAUCGGAACGUGCCCAGUCGUGGGGGAUAACGUAGUGAAAAUUACGCUAAUAACGCAUACGAUCUAUGGAUGAAAGCGGGGGAUAGCAAGACCUCGCGCGAUUGGAUCGGCCGAUAUCAGAUUAGGUAGUUGGUGGGGUAAAGGCCCACCAAGCCAACGAUCUGUAGCUGGUCUGAGAGGACGACCAGCCACACUGGAACUGAGACACGGUCCAGACUCCUACGGGAGGCAGCAGUGGGGAAUUUUGGACAAUGGGCGAAAGCCUGAUCCAGCCAUUCCGCGUGCAGGAUGAAGGCCCUCGGGUUGUAAACUGCUUUUGUACAGAACGAAAAGGUUUCUACUAAUACUAGGAGCUCAUGACGGUACUGUAAGAAUAAGCACCGGCUAACUACGUGCCAGCAGCCGCAGUAA
rnacentral:rRNA from 1 species